UGUUGUUUCAUCUUUGCACAAGAUUUCUUGGCAAAUCCUUCAUGGUAUUAGGGCCUUGCUUGUUGCAGGUGAAAUGCACUCUCAUUAUAUGAAAAUUGUGAUUUCAAAUGAAGAUUUGAAGACUACAAAUUCAACUCUGAGGUUCAUUUUUUCAUCAUUGAUCUACAAAUUUUGAGAAAAUUUCGUCAUGAACUGCAAUAAGUUGCAAUUAUUUACAGCCGAUCUUGAAUUACUUGAUUAAAUUUGCAACAUCUUUCAUCCUUUUUGCAUCAAUUCGCUGGUAUUUGAAGCAACCUGCCUUAAUUUAUAGAGAUUUGGCUCAAAUUCAGUGAUCUACAAGAAUCUUGUUUCAUCGAUUUGGUUUUACAUGCUACCUUUAUCUGCUUUUCCUUUGCUAAAUUUUGUGCUGGCAUGGUUCUUCCUUGGCACAGGGGAAUCAAGUCUCUUUUAUUUUAAUUAAAAAAAAAAGACUUAUCACAUUUUGCCUUUGCCUGGCACAAAAACUGAAAUUAAUUAUGCCGCAUAAUUGACUUUUCUUCUUCCCUGGCGCAAAUUCUGAUAAAUCUUCACUCUGUGUUUCUGCAAAUUUUAGUAAUUCUUUUGGCGAACAGCAUCUGCAAGUAUUUUCGGCCUCCACUCUGUAGAACAUGGAGCAAAGAAUAUGGAGAAUAAGGCGUUGAUUUCUGACUGCUAUUUUGUUAUAUAAGAAGGCAUUUUAUUGAGUAUUUCGCAGAUGUUUUUCAGCCAAAUCUGCAAUCAGCUUGGAGUUGGAAAUUUCUUCCUGUGGCAUUGAAGUUUAUAAAAAAAUUUGCUAUUUUUUCCAGCAAGCAUUUCAACAUACAGGCACAUUUGGUUUUCUCGUAAGACAUUUUCAGGAGACUCAUUGACAUAAAUAAAAUAUUUUUCAGUAGGAGUGGAAUAUUUUGACGUCUAAACUAUUUUUUGAAAAUUCAUACGAGAUUAAAUGGACAAGCAAAAAGGCAUUCAAUUAUUGAGAGUAGAAAAUUAAAUUUGAAAAUUCAAAUCACUUUAAAUAUUUGUUUUUAUUUUGAAUUGUCUUUGCCUUUAGUUCGUGCAUAAAAGUUUUGGCAUUGACAUAAGUCCUUCAUUGUAAAGAGGAGUGUGAAACUAUUUUCCCUUCCUCAAACUUGCAAAAGCAAAUUUGCAUUUUUCUUUUACGUUAUUUUGUAAAACUUAUAAUGCACUACAUUAUAAAGUGUCAGAGGAGGGGAGGAUUUCUAUUGAAUCAAGGGGAAAGUUUAUGUGUUGAA